AGGAGAGCAAACACAGCCGUUUAUUACAGCAUCAGUGUAUGGGAGGUGGUUUCCUUCACUUGGAUGAGGACAUAGUAUCAUGAAUUCGCGGGGAUCUCGCGUACGUGGUUUGAGAAUGUUUUAACGUUACUUGCCAUGAGCAUGAGCUUAUUCUGACUAUCUUUUGUUUCUGCAUUUCUUAAAUAUCUGUAUCCAAUAAAACACAUUACCAUAAUUCAAUGCAUUUACGAUGUAAUACAUGCUGUCCUGUGGCUAAAGGUAGGCUAUAUACAGCGAAUCAAUGAGUUACCAGCCGUCAUUUUUGGUCAGCAUAUGAUUCCUUACAGGCUUAGUGGUACAUUGUCGUGAUAGGAUUAUGGAAAGAGAAGAUUUACCACGCAAAGACUAAAAGGUGUGGAUUCUUUAAGGCGAAAGUUCAUAAAUUGAACGAUUAUGGAGAUAAGACCCCGAAACAAAUGAAAAGAGUUAUUUCUACCUUCAGGCAAUGACUUAAAAGUGGAUCGUCUGUGAACGUCCAUAAUGGCUGACACUGUUUUCCUGUGGAUGGCCUACACUUCAGUGUAAAAACACAAAAGGAAGCUGUCACACGUCUCGAGUUUGCUCUAAAGGGAGUGCCAAUGAUUGCUGAAAUGGGGCCAUUCUUUAUGGACUCCCUUUGGACAAGGUCUUGAGUCAGUCCACCAAGUUAGAUGUAGAUACAUCAAACUGUUGCAGAGGU
ensembl:lncRNA